CGGGGGAGGCCGGAUCCUGGGCUGUGUCCCGGCGCCCUGUGCUCCGGAGCCUGCGCUGUUGGAUUCGCGCUCCCACCCCGCAGCCCCCA
rfam:Canis lupus familiaris chromosome 14, whole genome shotgun sequence.